UACGUAGGGGGCAAGCGUUGUCCGGAUUUAUUGGGCGUAAAGAGCGUGUAGGCGGCCUGACAGGUCUGCUGUGAAAACUCGAGGCUCAACCUCGAGAUGUCGGCGGAAACCGUCUGGCUAGAGUCCGGAAGAGGAGAGUGGAAUUCCUGGUGUAGCGGUGAAAUGCGCAGAUAUCAGGAAGAACACUUAUGGCGAAGGCAGCUCUCUGGGACGGUACUGACGCUGAGACGCGAAAGCGUGGGGAGCGAACAGG
rnacentral:rRNA from 1 species